CCAUCCACCAUCCUUCCCACCACCUCUCCCACCGUCCUCCCACCUGCACCUCCGGCCAUCCCAGCCCUCUCGCAGCCCCGGUCCCUCUUCCUGAGCUGGAGCCCCAGUCCUUCUCCUUCUUCUUGCAGGGGCAGGUGGCCUGGCUCCUGGCGUGGGUGGCCUGGCUCCUGGCAUAGGUGGCCUGGCUCCUGGUGUGGGUGGCUUGGUUCCUGGUGUGGGUGGCCUGGCCCCCGGCAUUGGAGGUGUCCCAGGAGUCGGAGGUCCGGCAGCAGCAGCAAAAGCAGCAGCCAAGGCAGCCAAGUACGGUGCCGGUGUCGGAGGGGUGCCAGGCGCGGUGCCCGGUGGUCCCGGUGUGCCAGGAGUGACACCCGGCGUUGGCGGCGUCCCUGGGUUGGUGCCGAGCGUGGGGGUACCCGGUGCCGGCGUUCUCCCCGGGGCAGGUGAGGGCAGCACUGCACCCAGAUGUGGGGGGUGGGUGGGAUGGGGGGCACGGGGGUGCCUGUCCUAAACGCGGUGCCCUUGUUUGCUUUGCAGGCAUCCCCCAAGUAGGGGUGCAGCCAGGUGCUAAGCCUCCCAAGUUCGGUACGUAUCGCUGCCACCCGUCCCCAGCCUGCUCCCCCUUGGGCACCCCGUGUUGAUAUCGGGGUGCUGGCCCCUCUUCAUGUCCCCACAUGCCCUGCGGAGCCCUGGGCAUGGGGGGGGAUGGCACGCUGUCACCCCUGGGUGCAGAGUGCCACCCGGUAUGGUGGCUUCUUCCCACCCCAGUCACCCUGGGGACAUUUUCCUCCUGCUCUGCACUGCCUGCAGCAAGGCACCAAGCAGAAGGCCUCCAGGUCUUUCUGUGCUGGGGGAGGUGGGACGGGUGCCAGGGCCACCCCUGGGUGUUCACUGCCUCCCCCGAGCUCCCUGUGCAGGCUGUGGGGACGUGGUCUCACUGCCUCUCUCUGACAGGAGUUCCCGGAGCUGGAGUCCCAGGGGUUGGUGGCAUCCCAGGUGGCCUCGGAGUUGGUGGCCUCGGAGCUGGUGGCCUUGGUGCUGGUGGCCUUGGUGCUGGGCUCUUGUUUCCAGGAGCUGCUGGAAAACCUCCCAAGCCAGGUUUUGGUGUUGGGGGGCUGCCAGGUGAGUGCCGGGGCCGGGGGCCAGGGUGGGACCCUGUCACCGACCGCACUGCCCCGCUUGUUGUCCCCACCCCGCCGGGCACGCCACAGGCUCGCGGGGUGCUCUGUAGCGGGGUGGGCACCCAGGGGUGCUGCUGGGCUCGGGGGCUCUUGGGGCAGCUCACGCCCAGCUUGCUGCAGGCUUGGGGACACUGCGGCCACGCAGGGCUGGGGUGGCAGCGCUGUCACCGGCUGUCACUUUUUCCCCAGGGCCUGGAGUUCCCGGCUUUGGCGUGUCACCGAUAUUUCCAGGUACCUUCCCCUGCGUGCCCUGCCCGGGGGGACACACGCAGCCGCAGGGCACAAGGACACGGCCACGGGGAGUGGGGCUGGGCUGGGCUGGGGGGCACGGGGCCGAGCAUCACUGAGGCUUUGCUGUGCUUUCAGGUGGGGUCGGCGGCCAGCUGGGAUUUGGCGGUGAGUGCGCCCCAGCCAGGCGGGUUGGGGACAGUGGGCGGGGGGUCACCUCCCCAGGGGGCACCCGUGGAGCCCCCCACCCCGCUCACCCUCUCCGUCUUGUCCCCGCAGGGAAGCCCCCCAAGACCUUCGGAGGAGCCCUCGGGGCCCUGGGCUUUAGAGGUGAGCGCCGCCGGGUCCCCCGCCACCCCUGCCCGGCUUCCAAGCCCCCUGCCGGGGCCCGGGGGGGCUGACCCGGUGUCCCCCCCCCCAACCCAGGUGGAGUCGGCUGCGCACAAGGGAAAUACUGCGGGAGGAAGCGGAAGUAACCGCCCGCCCCACCGAUAACCUCAUGAACUUUGGUGCUACUGCAUGGUCCAGAAUGUAAAUCCCCAGCCCAGCUGAGACCCCCCUGGCCCCCCGGCCCCACGCUCCCGGGAGGGACCCCACGGUGCGGCAGCAGCGCCGGGGCCUGCCCCCACCCCGGGAAUUCUCCCCCCCGACCCCCCCAGGGAGCGCGGAAUAAACUGCGGGGAGCAGCUGUCCCCCUUGGUGCU
rnacentral:lncRNA from 1 species